rnacentral:rRNA from 1 species
GGAUUAGAUACCCUGGUAGUCCCAGCCGUAAACGAUGGACACUAGAUGGAGGAGGGCUUGCCCUUCCCUGUCGCAGCUAACGCGUUAAGUGUCCCGCCUGGGGAGUACGGCCGCAAGGUUAAAACUCAAAGGAAUUGACGGGGGCUCGCACAAGCGGUGGAGCAUGUGGUUCAAUUCGAUGCAACGCGAAGAACCUUACCCGGGCUUGAAGUGGAAGUGGUAGGAACCGGAAACGGUAACGACCCCGCAAGGGGAGCUUCCAUCAGGUGUUGCAUGGCUGUCGUCAGCUCGUGCCG